rnacentral:lncRNA from 1 species
GGAAGUGCUGCCUGAUAGGGAGCGUCCUACCCACCCCGUCUGCUGGAGCUGGACUGACCAGGGACGGCCACCCCUGAGGGGACUCUAGUGCUGCACUGGGAGGUGAGGUGAAGUUAGGGCAGCGACGAUUGGCCGAUUACUGAAGAGGCAUGCCACUUAGGCUUUCUGAACCUCAGUUUCCUCAUUCGUAAAAUAGAAACAAGAAUCCUGCUCUUGCGCCCCCUCCCGGGAUUAUUAGAAGAUUGAAUCCUAAAAAAAAAGAAGAAGAAGAUUGAAUCCUUUUAUGGAUUUGAGGGUCCCUGGCUUUAUAAAUUUAAAAUAUUUAAUUCUUUCAGCCAGCCUGGAUUAUUUGCUCCCUUAGAGCCCAUAGAUUUACUGUAAUUGAUUCAGUCCACUCCGAUUUUUCUCGCCCAUAAGUAUUUUUAUUUAAAAAUGAAUAUAUCUUAUCUUCUUCAACGAAGCACUUUUGCAGCCAUUACGUCUUUUCGGAGCUAGACAGAAGUUACUAAACCUGGAAAAUUCCUUAAGGAUCACUUGCUUCAAAGGGAGACACGGUGGCCCUGCUGUUCAAGGAGCGUCAGUGACCCAGAGAGUCAGUGACCAAGAGGAAACGCCUGUCUCCUGGGGACUUCCAAGAUACUAGCUACAGUCUCUUAUAUUUACACCUUUCCUCCCUAAGGACAGCAGGAAAAAGAAAGUUCCGUGUUUCUUUUUAAAUCAGGGAGAUGUUAAUAGCUACAUGGCUCAUUUUGUCUACACCACAGAAAUAACAGUGGUUCCAGUUAAUCAUGCUCAUGUUGAGGGGGAGUGCUUAUGCAGGGGCCACCAGAAGACCCCUCUCCUUCACUACCACCACCACCACCCUAAGAAAUGAAAAGCCAAAAAAAGAAACCAAAAAACCAGAGGUCAACAAGAAGCUUCCAGAGGUAGUCAGCAGGGGACAAGAAAGUGUUUUUAUAAAAAACGCACAUAUCUUUGAUGACAAAAAAAAAGGGAUAGCUAUGAAGGAAAAAUGAAGCAAAUAAAAAUUAUUUAAAG